GUCUUUUGAAUACAUUAUUAGAUCUGCUCCAGAGAAAGCUUGAAAGCAAGGCCUGUACUCCACUUGAAAAGAUUCAUAAAAUAGAUUUGUAAAUUAUUCUUCAGCGCAUGAAUUUCUCAAGUAUACGAUUAUACUAAAUUAAUAUUCAUAUGUUGCAGGAAGUUGGUGAACCAUCUAAAGAAGAGAAGGCUGUGGCCAAGUAUCUUCGAUUCAACUGUCCAACAAAGUCCACCAAUAUGAUGGGUCACCGGGUUGAUUAUUUUAUUGCUUCAAAAGCAGUGGACUGUCUUUUGGAUUCAAAGUGGGCAAAGGCCAAGAAAGGAGAGGAAGCUUUAUUUACAACCAGGGAGUCUGUGGUUGACUACUGCAACAGGCUUUUAAAGAAGCAGUUUUUUCACCGAGCCCUAAAAGUAAUGAAAAUGAAAUAUGAUAAAGACAUAAAGAAAGAAAAAGAUAAAGGAAAAGCUGAAAGUGGAAAAGAAGAAGAUAAAAAGAGCAAGAAAGAAAAUAUAAAGGAUGAGAAGAC
rnacentral:sRNA from 1 species